AUUGAACGCUGGCGGCAGGCCUAACACAUGCAAGUCGAACGAGUGGCGGACGGGUGAGUAAUGUCUGGGAACCUGCCUGCUGGAGGGGGAUCACUACUGUAAACGGUAGCUAAUAACGCAUAUCAUCGGAUGUGCACAGAUGGGAUUAGCUUGUAGGUGGGGUAAAGGCUCGCCUAGGCGACUAUCCCUCGCUGGUCUGCGAGGAGGACCAGCAACACGGGAACUUAACCACGGUCCAGACUCCUACGGGAGGCAGCAGUGGGGAAUAUUACACAAUGGGCGCAAGCCUGAUGCAACCAUGCCGCGUGUAUGAAGAAGGCCUUCGGGUUGGAAAGUACCUUCAGCGGGGAGGCGUUACCCGCAGAAGAAGCACCGGCUAACUCCGUGCCAGCAGCCGCGGUAAUAC
rnacentral:rRNA from 1 species